rnacentral:rRNA from 1 species
ACGACUGCUAAUACCGCCAUAAGACCACAGUACCGCAUGGUACAGUGAUCAAAGGAUUUAUUCGCUGAAGGAUGGCUUCGCGUCCGAUUAGGUAGUUGGUGAGGUAACGGCCCACCAAGCCUACGAUCGGUAGCCGGACUGAGAGGUUGAUCGGCCACAUUGGGACUGAGACACGGCCCAGACUCCUACGGGAGGCAGCAUG